rnacentral:tRNA from 1 species
CCUGGUAGCUCAGUUGGUAAAGAACCUGCCUGACGUGCAGGAGACCCGGGUUCAAUCCCUGGGUCAGGA